GAGAACAAAGGAAGGAGGAAGUAACUGGUGGAAUGCUGAGAAAGCAUUUCAGUGUGCGGCAUCAUCAUGCAAGCUCUGUAAGAGGAGAGUAAGAUCAGUACUCCUACUUGUAAAUGAAAGAGAAGAAAACAAAAACAAGCAAAUUCCUUCUAAGGUGUGAGGAACACGAGUAAACAGAGAAAUCACCUAAGGAGAAAACAGGAAGCAGAUUUGAAACUGUGGCCACCAACGACACGAGGGAGCGCAAAACCCAGCCCACUUGCCAGGGAGGCUGGCAGAGCCCACACCCAGUCUGGUGCCCUGGUCGGUUACAUUCUGCUUUUUGAAGCAGCGUUCAAAAUCAGUUGUGGAUCAAGUCAAGAUGAACUCUGAAACAAUACUUUAAAUACCCCUGGAUGAUUUUGAAGCUCCCUGCAGCAUUUUUAGAAGGUACCAAAUAAGAAAAACGUGGAUGAAGAUGGAGAAAGCAUACAAAACUUUUACACACUGGUUUGAAGCUGUCACCGCGCGGAACAUAAAGAACAGGCCAAGACCAGUGCAGGCAUCGACGACUUUCUCCAUUCAGAGCCUCCGCG
rnacentral:lncRNA from 1 species